UUUGUCAAUCCAACCGUUGGAUCCGACCACCUAUGGUGGACCUUACCUCAUAGCCUAAAAGUUUUCUUAUAAAGUGGGCCUACUGCACACGCACUUAAGACGAGGACCAGCGAAUUGCCGCUCGCUGGGGUUCGGUCUGGGACGGGACCCACCGGUUCUACACUAAUAUUAGUGAUGGGCCUCACAGCUUGCGUAGGCCACAAUGGGAUAUGGCUGAGACUGAGAGAGACCCACUUGCUCAAAACUGG
rnacentral:lncRNA from 1 species